rnacentral:lncRNA from 10 species
AUUUCCUACAUGUGUGCUGCACUGGGACCAGUCACGCAGAAAGACUGGCUAGACUUUCAGUCUCGGGAGAAUAGAUCCAAGCAUAAGUGGUAAAUUUGAAGGUGGCUUGGUUAAUGCUAAGUCAACCUGGAUAGUUUAAUUGCCAGGAAAUAGGGAGGUAAAACCAAGUCGAAGAGUUGUCUAUUGACAAUGGGACCAGGAUCAACGACCCCUGAGAUUUCCAGGAGUCAAUAUAGUUUCACAUCAACAGGAGUUAAGAAUCGUAUCCUUGGAGAUUACGUGGCGCCAAAAGAGCGAAGGUGGGAAGUUCAGCGUUAAAGAGUCUCUCCAGCCUGGAGAAUGAGCAGCAGUUCCUAAAGGAUUAUGCUAUCUUCUGAUCAACUUUUGACAUUUGACUUAAAAUUUUAAACUUGCAUAAGUAAUUGCAUGCACACAAUAAAAUAUUCAAAAGGUUCAAACAGGUGUAUAAUGAAAGGGAAGUCCUUCUCCAAGCCCUCAGUUAUCUUCCUCAGAAGAAACCACUGUCCCAGCAGCUCUGAAUCCCCCUUCCAGAGAUAUUCCCUGUGCCUGAGCACAGUGCCUGUGUAUAAUUACAACUGUUUAAUAUACAAAU